rnacentral:rRNA from 1 species
GACGAACGCUGGCGGCGUGCCUAAUACAUGCAAGUCGAGCGAAUGGAUUAAGAGCUUGCUCUUAUGAAGUUAGCGGCGGACGGGUGAGUAACACGUGGGUAACCUGCCCAUAAGACUGGGAUAACUCCGGGAAACCGGGGCUAAUACCGGAUAACAUUUUGAAACGCAUGGUUCGAAAUUGAAAGGCGGCUUCGGCUGUCACUUAUGGAUGGACCCGCGUCGCAUUGGGUAGUUGGUGAGGUAACGGCUCACCAAGGCAACGAUGCGUAGCCGACCUGAGAGGGUGAUCGGCCACACUGGGACUGAGACACGGCCCAGACUCCUACGGGAGGCAGCAGUAGGGAAUCUUCCGCAAUGGACGAAAGUCUGACGGAGCAACGCCGCGUGAGUGAUGAAGGCUUUCGGGUCGUAAAACUCUGUUGUUAGGGAAGAACAAGUGCUAGUUGAAUAAGCUGGCACCUUGACGGUACCUAACCAGAAAGCCACGGCUAACUACGUGCCAGCAGCCGCAGUAA